rnacentral:rRNA from 1 species
UACAGAGGGUGCGAGCGUUGUCCGGAAUCACUGGGCGUAAAGGGCGCGUAGGCGGCCACCGCAAGUCGACUGUGAAAUCUCCGGGCUUAACCCGGAAAGGUCAGCCGAUACUGCGGGGCUAGAGUGCAGAAGGGGCAACUGGAAUUCUCGGUGUAGCGGUGAAAUGCGUAGAUAUCGAGAGGAACACCUGCGGCGAAGGCGGGUUGCUGGGCUGACACUGACGCUGAUGUGCGAAAGCUAGGGGAGCGAACGGG